rnacentral:rRNA from 1 species
UACGGAGGGUGCAAGCGUUAUCCGGAUUUACUGGGGUUAAAGGGUGCGUAGGUGGGUUGGUAAGUCAGUGGUGAAAUACUUUCGCUUAACGAAGGAACUGCCAUUGAUACUACCAGUCUUGAAUACAGUGGAGGUAGGCGGAAUGCGUCAUGUAGCGGUGAAAUGCUCAGAUAUGACGCAGAACACCAAUUGCGAAGGCAGCUUGCUACACUGUUAUUGACACUGAGGCACGAAAGCGUGGGGAUCAAACAGG